rnacentral:rRNA from 1 species
CACGUAGGGCGCAAGCGUUGUCCGGAAUUACUGGGCGUAAAGCGUGCGCAGGCGGUUUUGUAAGCCAGGUGUGAAAUCCCCGGGCUCAACCUGGGAAUGGCAUUUGGGACUGCAAGGCUGGAGUGCGGCAGAGGAGACUGGAAUUCCUGGUGUAGCAGUGAAAUGCGUAGAUAUCAGGAGGAAUACCGAUGGCGAAGGCAGGUCUCUGGGCUGACACUGACGCUCAUGCACGAAAGCGUGGGGAGCAAACAGG